GGAAAGUCGGUGCCAGAGGCGGGGGGAAUACGUGGGUGAGCAGGGUGUGCAGGAUUGACUGGGCGUAAAGGGCGCGGAGGCGGUCGUUCAAGUCGAGUGUGAAAGCCCGCGGCUCAACUGGGGAGGGUCACUCGAGACUGAUCGACUCGAAGGCAGGAUAGGGAAGCGGAAUGCCCGGUGUAGUGGUGAAAUGCGUAGAUAUCGGGAGGAACACCAGUGGCGAAGGCGGCUUCCUGGCCUGUUCUUGACGCUGAGGCGCGAAAGCUAGGGGAGCAAACGGGAUUAGAUACCCCUGUAGUC
rnacentral:rRNA from 1 species